AGGAGGGAGAAGACGAGCAUGGAAGUCAGGACUGCGAGGGGAAUGUUGCAUAUUUCUGAUGCUGAGCCUGACUGCUGCUCGGUGAGGUAGUAGCUCAAGCCAUAAAUCUGUGCUUCCUCUUCCCAUCCUGAGAAGCUCUCACUGGAGACCACUACUCUUAGCUCAUGGCAUGUGGACCUGCUUUUUCAGGGUUUUGGAAUGUGGGCAGAGGAUGAUGUGCAGAGCCUGGACUUCCUACAGCAGUCAGAGACGCUGAGUAAGACGGUGAACCCAAAGAAAAACAUACAUUCAUCCUCCUGGAUAUUGGAAGUAGAACCUUCAUCUGGCGAUGGAUGGAGAACCACAUCGGAG